rnacentral:rRNA from 1 species
AGAUUAAGUUAUUAAGGGCGCACGGUGGAUGCCUUGGCACUAGAAGCCGAAGAAGGACGUUACUAACGACGAUAUGCUUUGGGUAGCUGUAAGUAAGCGUUGAUCCAGAGAUUUCCGAAUGGGGGAACCCAACAUGAGUGAUGUCAUGUUAUCGACAUGUGAAUUCAUAGCAUGUCAGAAGGCAGACCCGGAGAACUGAAACAUCUUAGUACCCGGAGGAAGAGAAAGAAAAAUCGAUUCCCUGAGUAGCGGCGAGCGAAACGGGAAGAGCCCAAACCAACAAGCUUGCUUGUUGGGGUUGUAGGACACUCUAUACGGAGUUACAAAAGAACAUGUUAGACGAAUCAUCUGGAAAGAUGAAUCAAAGAAGGUAAAAAUCCUGUAGUCGAAAACAUAUUCUCUCUUGAGUGGAUCCUGAGUACGACGGAGCACGUGAAAUUCCGUCGGAAUCUAGGAGGACCAUCUCCUAAGGCUAAAUACUCUCUAGUGACCGAUAGUGAACCAGUACCGUGAGGGAAAGGUGAAAAGUACCCCGGAAGGGGAGUGAAAGAGAACUUGAAACCGUGUGCUUACAAGUAGUCAGAGCCCGUUAAUGGGUGAUGGCGUGCCUUUUGUAGAAUGAACCGGCGAGUUACGAUCUGAUGCAAGGUUAAGCAGCGAAUGUGGAGCCGUAGCGAAAGCGAGUCUGAAUAGGGCGUUGAGUAUUUGGUCGUAGACCCGAAACCAGGUGAUCUACCCUUGGUCAGGUUGAAGUUCAGGUAACACUGAAUGGAGGACCGAACCGACUUACGUUGAAAAGUGAGCGGAUGAACUGAGGGUAGCGGAGAAAUUCCAAUCGAACUUGGAGAUAGCUGGUUCUCUCCGAAAUAGCUUUAGGGCUAGCCUCAAGUGAUGAUUAUUGGAGGUAGAGCACUGUUUGGACGAGGGGCCCCUCUCGGGUUACCGAAUUCAGACAAACUCCGAAUGCCAAUCAAUUUAACUUGGGAGUCAGAACAUGGGUGAUAAGGUCCGUGUUCGAAAGGGAAACAGCCCAGACCACCAGCUAAGGUCCCAAAAUAUAUGUUAAGUGGAAAAGGAUGUGGCGUUGCCCAGACAACUAGGAUGUUGGCUUAGAAGCAGCCAUCAUUUAAAGAGUGCGUAAUAGCUCACUAGUCGAGUGACACUGCGCCGAAAAUGUACCGGGGCUAAACAUAUUACCGAAGCUGUGGAUUGUCCGUAGGACAAUGGUAGGAGAGCGUUCUAAGGGCGUUGAAGCAUGAUCGCAAGGACAUGUGGAGCGCUUAGAAGUGAGAAUGCCGGUGUGAGUAGCGAAAGACGGGUGAGAAUCCCGUCCACCGAUUGACUAAGGUUUCCAGAGGAAGGCUCGUCCGCUCUGGGUUAGUCGGGUCCUAAGCUGAGGCCGACAGGCGUAGGCGAUGGAUAACAGGUUGAUAUUCCUGUACCACCUAGUAUCGUUUUAAUCGAUGGGGGGACGCAGUAGGAUAGGCGAAGCGUGCUGUUGGAGUGCACGUCCAAGCAGUAAGGCUGAGUGUUAGGCAAAUCCGGCACUCGUAAGGCUGAGCUGUGAUGGGGAGAGGAAAUUGUUUCCUCGAGUCGUUGAUUUCACACUGCCGAGAAAAGCCUCUAGAUAGAUAACAGGUGCCCGUACCGCAAACCGACACAGGUAGUCAAGAUGAGAAUUCUAAGGUGAGCGAGCGAACUCUCGUUAAGGAACUCGGCAAAAUGACCCCGUAACUUCGGGAGAAGGGGUGCUCUUUAGGGUUCACGCCCAGAAGAGCCGCAGUGAAUAGGCCCAAGCGACUGUUUAUCAAAAACACAGGUCUCUGCUAAACCGUAAGGUGAUGUAUAGGGGCUGACGCCUGCCCGGUGCUGGAAGGUUAAGAGGAGUGGUUAGCUUCUGCGAAGCUACGAAUCGAAGCCCCAGUAAACGGCGGCCGUAACUAUAACGGUCCUAAGGUAGCGAAAUUCCUUGUCGGGUAAGUUCCGACCCGCACGAAAGGCGUAACGAUUUGGGCACUGUCUCAACGAGAGACUCGGUGAAAUCAUAGUACCUGUGAAGAUGCAGGUUACCCGCGACAGGACGGAAAGACCCCGUGGAGCUUUACUGUAGCCUGAUAUUGAAAUUCGGCACAGCUUGUACAGGAUAGGUAGGAGCCAUUGAAACGUGAGCGCUAGCUUACGUGGAGGCGUUGGUGGGAUACUACCCUAGCUGUGUUGGCUUUCUAACCCGCACCACUUAUCGUGGUGGGAGACAGUGUCAGGCGGGCAGUUUGACUGGGGCGGUCGCCUCCUAAAAGGUAACGGAGGCGCUCAAAGGUUCCCUCAGAAUGGUUGGAAAUCAUUCACAGAGUGUAAAGGCAUAAGGGAGCUUGACUGCGAGACCUACAAGUCGAGCAGGGUCGAAAGACGGACUUAGUGAUCCGGUGGUUCCGCAUGGAAGGGCCAUCGCUCAACGGAUAAAAGCUACCCCGGGGAUAACAGGCUUAUCUCCCCCAAGAGUUCACAUCGACGGGGAGGUUUGGCACCUCGAUGUCGGCUCAUCGCAUCCUGGGGCUGUAGUCGGUCCCAAGGGUUGGGCUGUUCGCCCAUUAAAGCGGUACGCGAGCUGGGUUCAGAACGUCGUGAGACAGUUCGGUCCCUAUCCGUCGUGGGCGUAGGAAAUUUGAGAGGAGCUGUCCUUAGUACGAGAGGACCGGGAUGGACAUACCUCUGGUGUACCAGUUGUCGUGCCAACGGCAUAGCUGGGUAGCUAUGUAUGGACGGGAUAAGUGCUGAAAGCAUCUAAGCAUGAAGCCCCCCUCAAGAUGAGAUUUCCCAACUUCGGUUAUAAGAUCCCUCGAAGAUGACGAGGUUAAUAGGUUCGAGGUGGAAGCGUGGCGACACGUGGAGCUGACGAAUACUAAUCGAUCGAAGACUUAAUCAAUUU